rnacentral:rRNA from 1 species
UACGGGGGGGGCAAGCGUUGUUCGGAAUUACUGGGCGUAAAGGGCUCGUAGGUGGCCAACUAAGUCAGACGUGAAAUCCCUCAGCUUAACUGGGGAACUGCGUCUGAUACUGGAUGGCUUGAGUUUGGGAGAGGGAUGCGGAAUUCCAGGUGUAGCGGUGAAAUGCGUAGAUAUCUGGAGGAACACCGGUGGCGAAGGCGGCAUCCUGGACCAUCACUGACACUGAGGAGCGAAAGCCAGGGGAGCAAACGGG